rnacentral:rRNA from 1 species
AGAGUUUGAUCAUGGCUCAGGACGAACGCUGGCGGUAUGCUUAACACAUGCAAGUCGAACGAGACAAAAGAGAAGUGCUUGCACGGAUCUUUUAGAAAGUGGCGAACGGGUGAGUAACGCGUGGGUAACCUACCCUAUGGAAAGGAAUAGCCUCGGGAAACUGGGAGUAAUGCCUUAUAAGAUAUAUUUGUCGCAUGGCAGAUGUAUUAAACGCUCCGGUGCCAUAGGAUGGACCCGCGUCCCAUUAGCUAGUUGGUGAGAUAACAGCUCACCAAGGCGACGAUGGGUAACCGGUCUGAGAGGGCGAACGGUCACACUGGAACUGAGACACGGUCCAGACUCCUACGGGAGGCAGCAGUGGGGAAUAUUGCGCAAUGGGGGAAACCCUGACGCAGCAAUACCGCGUGAGUGAAGAAGGUUUUCGGAUCGUAAAGCUCUGUUAUUGGGGAAGAAAAAAAGACGGUACCCAAGAAGAAAGUCCCGGCUAACUACGUGCCAGCAGCCGCGGUAAUACGUAGGGGACAAGCGUUGUCCGGAUUUACUGGGCGUAAAGGGCACGCAGGCGGUUUUUUAAGUCAGAUGUGAAAGGUACCGGCUCAACCGGUGACAUGCAUUUGAAACUGAAAGACUUGAGUAUUGGAGAGGCAAGUGGAAUUCCUAGUGUAGCGGUGAAAUGCGUAGAUAUUAGAGGAACACCGGUGGCGAAAGCGGCUUGCUGGACAAUACUGACGCUGAGUGCGAAAGCGUGGGGAGCAACAGAUUAGAUACCCUGUAGUCCACGCCGUAAACGAUGAGUGCUAGUUGUUGGGGAGACUCAGUGCCGCAGCC